rnacentral:rRNA from 1 species
GGGGGAAUUUUGGACAAUGGGCGAAAGCCUGAUCCAGCAAUGCCGCGUGUGUGAAGAAGGCCUUCGGGUUGUAAAGCACUUUUGUCCGGAAAGAAAUCCUUGGCUCUAAUACAGUCGGGGGAUGACGGUACCGGAAGAAUAAGCACCGGCUAACUACGUGCCAGCAGCCGCGGUAAUACGUAGGGUGCAAGCGUUAAUCGGAAUUACUGGGCGUAAAGCGUGCGCAGGCGGUUUGCUAAGACCGAUGUGAAAUCCCCGGGCUCAACCUGGGAACUGCAUUGGUGACUGGCAGGCUAGAGUAUGGCAGAGGGGGGUAGAAUUCCACGUGUAGCAGUGAAAUGCGUAGAGAUGUGGAGGAAUACCGAUGGCGAAGGCAGCCCCCUGGGCCAAUACUGACGCUCAUGCACGAAAGCGUGGGGAGCAAAACAGGAUUAGAUACCCCUGGGUAGUCCACGCCCUAAACGAUGUCAACUAGUUGUUGGGGAUUCAUUUCCUUAGUAACGUAGCUAACGCGUGAAGUUGACCGCCUGGGGGAGUACGGUCGCAAGAUUAAAA